AUGACGGCAAAAAUAGCCAUGAUCUUUCAGCCACUGCUGAAACUGCUGGAGUCGGGCCCUUCCCAGGCAGGACAUAAGCGGGGGGCCAGGGAGGACAUGGCCAGGCUGGAAGAGUGUCAUCAACCCGUGGCUGCUGGGGUGAGUGGCCCUCCUGUCCAGCCACAGUACCAGGGGGUGGGUGAAGGUGUUCGGAGGGGACAGAAAAGCAGGGGCCACUGGCUUCCCCCACCCCCCACUCUGCCAAUCCUACCUCAGGGCAGUUUUUUGUUUGGUUUUUUUUUGAGACAGAAUCUCGCUGUGUCACCCAGGCUGGAGUGCAGUGGCUUGAUCUUGGCUCACUGAAACCUCCGCCUCCCUGAUUCAAGCAAUUCUCUUGCCUCGGCUUCCUGAGUAGCAGGACUACAGGCGCGCACCACCAUGCCCAGCUAAUUUUUGUCUUUUUAGUAGAGAUGGGGGUUUCACCGUGGUGGCCAGGUUGGUCUCGAACUCCUGACCUCAGGUGAUCUGCCCGCCUCGGCCUCCCAAAGUGCUGGGAUUAUGGGCAUGAACCACCACACCCGGCCCCCAGGGUAACUUUGGUACUCCUCCCUAUAUCCAGCAAGGGCAGAGGAAAGUCCCCAGGGAAAGUCCUCUAUGAACCAUCGACGACGGCACGGUUAGUAGUAGUUACAAUGCCAAAAUUAAAAAAUAAAAUAAAAAGAUUUUGUGUGCAAUUUUGCAGAGGGAAUGUCUUGCCCUUUUUUUUCCACUCAGAAGGAAGGGCGGUUAUUCAAAACAGUCAAAAAGUGGGAACAGCCCAAAUCCCCACUGGCUGGUGAGUAGAUAAACAAACUGGAGUGUAUCCAUAACAUUACUCAGCCUUCAAAAGAAGGAAGCACUAAUUUAUGCUCCAAUGUGCAGGAACCAUGAAACGUGGUGCUAAGAAAGAAGCCAGGCGCAAGAGGCCACAUAGUGUGUGAUUCCACUGACACAAACCACCCAGGACAGGCCAGUCCACAGAGUCAGGAAGCCAGUUGUCAGUUGCUGGGGGCUGGCAGGGGAUUGAUGAUGACUUUGGGGCUUCUUUUUGGGGUGAUUCAAUGUUCUAGAAUUAGAUAGUGGUGAGGACUGCACAACUCUGUGAAUAUACUAAAAGCAUUGCACACUUUAAAGUGGGUAAUUUUUAAGGUAUGUGAAGUGUGUCUCAUUUUUUUUUCUUUUUAAAUUUAUUUUUUGGGCCAGGUGCAGUGGCUCAUGCCUGUAAUCCCAGCACUUUGGGAGGUCGAGGUGGGAGGAUCACGAGGUCAAGAGAUUGAGACCAUCCUGGCCAACAUGGUGAAACUCCGUCUCCACUAAAAAUACAAAAAUGAGCUGGGCACGGUGGUGCACGCUUGUAGUCCCAGUCACUCAGGAGGCUGAGGCAGGAGAAUCGCUUGAACCUGGGAGGUGGAGGUCGCAGUGAGCUGAGAUUGUGCCAUUGCACUCCAGCCUGGGGACGGAGUGAGACUACGUCUCAAAAAAAAAAAAAAAAAUUUUUUUUUUUAGAGAUGAAGUUUCAUUAUGUUACCCAGUCUGGUCCCGAACUCCUGGGCUCAAGCGAUCCACCUACCUUGGCCUCCCAAAGUGUUGGGAUUGCAGGCAUGUGCCACCGUACCUGGCCCUCGCAUCUUAUUUUUAUUUUUAUUUGUUUUGAGACGGAGUCUUGCUUUGUCACCUAGGCUGGAGUGCAGAGGCACGAUCUCAGCUCACUGCAAGCUCCGCCUCCCAGGUUCACGCCAUUCUCCUGCCUCAGCCUUCCAAAUAGCAGGGGCUACAGGCACCCGCCACCAUGCCCGGCUAAUUUUUUUGUAUUUUUAGUAGAGACAGCAUUUCACCGUCUUAGCCAGGAUGGUCUCGAUCUCCUGACCUCGUGAUCCGCCCGUCUCGGCCUCCCAAAGUACUGGGAUUAUAGGUGUGAGCCACGGCACCCGGCCUCAUCUCAUUUUUAAAAGAAGGCCAAGAAUGGUGGCACGUGCCUGUAAUCCCAGCUACAAGGAAGGCUAAGGCAGGAGAAUUGCUUGAACCCGGGAAGCAGAGGUUGCAGGGAAAUGUAAUAGUUUAACUUAAGAACUUAAAGGUAGGUCACUCAGACUUCUCUUAAAGAUGGAGAUGGCACACAAAAAUGCAGGUUUUGCCGGUCGCAGGGGCUCAUGCCUGUAAUCCUAGCGCUUUGGGAGGCUGAAGCGGGUGGAUCACCUGAGGUCAGGAGUUUGAGACUGGCCUGACCAACAUGGAGAAACACUGUCUCCACUAAAAAUACAAAAAAUUAGCUGGGCGGGAUGGGGCAUGCCUGUAAUCUCAACUACUCAGGAGGCUGAGGCAGGAGAAUUGCUUGAACCUGAGGUUGGAGGUUGCGGUGAGCCAAGAUCAUACCACUGCACUCCAGCCUGGGUGACAAGAGUGAAACUCUGUCUCAAAAAUAAAUAAAUAAGGCCAGGCAUAGAGGCUUACGCCUGUAAUCCCAGCACUCUAGGAAGGCAGAGGAGGGAAGAUAGCUUGAGGUUGGGAGUUUGAGACCAGUCUGGGCAAUGUAGCAAGACCCUGUCACUACAAACAUUAAAAAGAAAAAAUUAGCCAAGCAUAGUGGUAUGUGCCUGUAGUCCCAGCUACUCAGGAGGCUGAGGCAGGAGGAUCACUUGGGCCCAGGGGUUUGAGGCUGCCGUGAGCUAUGGUCACGCCACUGCCCUCCAGCCUGGGUGACAGAGUGAGCCCCAGUUUCAGGGAAAUAAAAGGGAGGGAGGUAUGUAAAGAAGAACAGUAAUCAAGUGAGACAACAUCCCCCUGUAUCGGCUCCACGAUGACGUUUAUGUGCCUCAGGUGUGGGGCCAGGAAACAAGAUGGACCACGACCAUGGUAGUAAUAGUGAUAGGAGCAAAGAUAGCCAGCAGCGUGAACUCAGCAGGUGUGAACCCUCUUCUGGGAGCACUUGGAUCCCCUUCCCUGAGCCUGGAGUUAGCAGCCCUCCCAGUCACUGCCCCCAAAUGCAGCUCCUGUGCCCUCCUGGGGCUUGUGUGCUCAUCUGGGCCCUUCAUUCUUGUUCCCUGGGACCAGAUGGAGGUGCGGGGCGCGGGGGGAGCCCCACCUCUGCGCUGUGCACUCUGAGCCUCUGUUUGCUGUGCGUCUUGCAGAGCUGGGCAUCCUCACCCUGCAGAGAGUGAGGGGCUCGGGAGUCCCAGGAGCAGCG
ensembl:lncRNA